AGUGAACGCUGGCGGUAGGCCUAACACAUGCAAGUCGAACGGCAGCACAGUAAGAGCUUGCUCUUACGGGUGGCGAGUGGCGGACGGGUGAGGAAUACAUCGGAAUCUACUUUUUCGUGGGGGAUAACGUAGGUAAACCCACGCUAAUACCGCAUACGACCUACGGGUGAAAGCAGGGGAUCUUCGGACCUUUCGCGAUUGAAUGAGCCGAUGUCGGAUUAGCUAGUUGGCGGGGUAAAGGCCCACCAAGGCGACGAUCCGUAGCUGGUCUGAGAGGAUGAUCAGCCACACUGGAACUGAGACACGGUCCAGACUCCUACGGGAGGCAGCAGUGGGGAAUAUUGGACAAUGGGCGCAAGCCUGAUCCAGCCAUACCGCGUGGGUGAAGAAGGCCUUCGGGUUGUAAAGCCCUUUUGUUGGGAAAGAAAAGCAGCAGGUUAAUACCCCGCUGUUCUGACGGUACCCAAAGAAUAAGCACCGGCUAACUUCGUG
rnacentral:rRNA from 1 species